UUAAACUUUAAACCCAUUAAGAAGAAAUGAUGUGCCACUGCACAACAUCGUUCCGUUACUUUUCAGUGCUAAAACCCUACUACCCGCCAUCCCCCUCCACCUAUCGCACCACCACCACCACCGCCACUCUCACCGGCGAUUACAGUUUCAACUCUCCAAUGACAACCAUAGACGAGUCAGACGUCGGUAUCUCCUGCUACAUCUCCAAGCUCCCCGGCUUUCGCGGCAUUUUAAAGCAAAGAUACUCCGAUUUCAUCGUCAAUGAAGUCGGUACCGACGGAAAUGUAGUUCAUCUGACCUCUCUUCAUGUCUCUCCUGAGGUUUUGAAAAUUGAAGAGGAGAAAGAGAUUGAUGUAACGAAUCAGAUAAGUGGAGAUAAAAAUUACGCUGAUGAAAUUGAAGCAUUUAGGUUAAUUGCUGGUGAUGAUGAUACGCAGCGUUUAGAAGCUUUUAUUACUGAAUUUAAUGAAGAUAACAGCAAAAAUAUGUCGCCUAUUGUUCUUUCACCAGAUUCCGAUAAAGCUCAUCGAACGGCAAUGCAUAAUUUCUUCAAGGAGAAGUUGAAGUUUCUUGUUACGGAUACCGUUGACGGACCGGAUGCUAUGUCGAAAUGCAUUCGUGUGAGAUUGAAUUCCGGGGGACAUAGCAAUGGAGGUGGUAGAAAUUCGAAGAAACGAAAGGAUAGAAAUGAUAACCAGGCAUUUGAUAGUAGGGGUUCUAAUCAUUGGCCGGAGGAUCUCGGCAAGUUUCUUAGGUUUCAUUUAUACAAGGAGAAUAAAGAUACACAAGAAGCUCUUGGAAUAAUAGGAAAGAUGCUUGGCCUUCAGCCAAGAGCUUUUGGUUUUUCUGGCACCAAGGAUAAACGUGCAGUGACAACUCAGAGGGUUACUCUUUUCAAGCAGCGUGCUAGCAGACUAGCUGCUCUUAAUGACAGAUUAAUUGGUAUCAAAGUGGGCGAUUUCUGCCAUGUUAAGGAAGAACUUCUGCUUGGACAGCUGUUAGGUAACCGUUUCACUAUCACAUUACGAGGAGUGGUUGCAGAUUCUGAAGAUACUAUCAAGGGGUCAGCAGACUCAUUAGGAAGAAAUGGGUUCAUCAAUUACUUUGGUUUACAGCGGUUUGGUAGCGGUUCUGUGCCGACACAUCUCAUUGGGGCUACAUUACUCCGAGGAGAGUGGAAAAGUGUUGUAAACAUGAUUCUUGAUCCAAGAGAAGGGGAAAGAUAUGAUGUGAGGAAGAUACGGGAGUAUUACAAGGAAAGUGGUGAUAUCGAUGGGACCCUGAGGCAACUGCCUCGCUAUCUGAAUGCUGAAAGGGCUGUACUUCAGUGUUUGAAGAAAUGCCCUGGGAACUACUUGCAGGCCCUGAAAGCUAUACCUAGAACUUUGAGAAUGAUGUAUGUACACAGUUAUCAAAGCUACUUGUGGAACCAUGCAGCGAGUGUGAGAGUUCAAAAAUAUGGAAAUGGCCAAGUUGUGGUAGGGGACUUGGUGUAUUGCAAAGGAGAUGAUACAGAAAGUGAGGUUUUAGGUGUCAAUUCUGAAUGUGAAGAUGGUGGCGGUGAAGACAUUUAUGAGUGCAGUACUUCAGAUGAAACAUCUGGAAUAAAUCCCCCUGAAAGAAAAAAUGAUCUUGUUAAGGCAGUAACAGCUGAAGACAUUUCAACUGGAAGUUAUACAAUUAAUGAUGUUAUCCUUCCAAUGCCCGGAUCUAGGGUAUCUUAUCCAACAAAUGACAUUGCCGAAGUUUAUCAUGAUUUGGCAAAGAAGGACUCUAUCAAUUUGGCUGAGAGUGUCCAUAGUGUCAAGGAAUUUUCAAUAACCAGCAUGACUGGAAGUUAUAGACGUGUUUUCCAGAAACCAAUGGACUUUGAAUGGGAAAUAAUGUCAUAUACUGAUAGUAAUACACCAUUGGCAGAGACAGAUCUGGAAAAAAUUGCCAAAGCUAACUCCGUGGAACUAAUCAAAGAAGAAAAAACCAAGAUAAAUGAGGAAAUAACCCCAAUUGAUUGCACGAAACAACCUAUGAGCUCAGAAAAUAAUUUAUGUCGAUCAGCAGAACAUGAUGAGGGUGAGAGAGUAGGGGCUGCGCAAGUUGAGCCUGUGUGUGUAUCUAACUCACAGGGCUCCGAAACAGCUCUAAAAUUAAGUUUCACUCUUCCAUCUUCAUGUUAUGCCACAAUGGCCAUAAGGGAGCUGUUGAAGUCAUCAACAUCUGUUGCAUUUCACAAAACAUUAAACCAGUGAGAUCAGAGAUAUUUAUGAAGUCCAAGACAUUUUAUUCUUUGGGGUCAAAAGCACUGUUACAAGCACAAGAACACGAAGUGCAGGGGAAUACUGUUAAAAGGAAAUCACUGUGUAGUUUGUGCAUUGCAUGGAUCCGCCAUUUCUCUACAUCUGCAAUCAUGGAUUUGCCAUUUCUCUAUAUCUGCAUUCAUGGAUUUGCCAUUUCUCUAUAUCUGCUAUCAUGGAUGGCCAGUAACUGUGACUUGAAACUUGAUUUCAUAAAUUUACAAAGAGUUUCCAGCAAAAAGUUUUUGUGGAUGAUGUUGUGUUUAAUGCGUCCUUGGUAUUUUUUUCAUCUUAGUAUAGAUUUAGGUUAGACUGCAAUCAGAAGAUCAAAUAAUUCAGAAAAAAUAAACGUGGUGAGAAAAAAUUGCAAAAUGGUAGGAAAACUCACCUCAUAGGUGGCAAGAAGUUUUUUGUAAUUGGACUGAGUAGAGCUAGCUGUGCUCUUGGCAUCAAAUUUGCUAUCCUUCGACCUGUUUGAUCGAAAGGAAUUGAUAAACCACGGAUCCUGGUUUUCAUAAGCAAAUGGUGUUGAGUAAAAGGAUGAGCCUUGUAGCUGACCAUGUUGCUGCUCAUUUUUUGGCUUCGUACUGACAUUGGGUCUCUGUUUCGGUUCACUUUGUGACCUGAGUUUGGCCCUUGAAGAUUCUGUGUUGGCCAUGUAGUUUGGAUGAGAAAUGGGUUGCAUAUAGUCCGGUUUCUGAUACGUAAACGAAGCUCUUCCUGGGAGUGCCUUAGUAGGUGGGGAGUAGAUUCGGGGACUAUUUGGUACUGUGGGGAAGGAGAAGUCCUCACAUUGGAAAUCCCGCUCUCGUUCUCGCUCUUUCCUGGAGAUGUAUAAUUCUCCUGAGUAGUAUUUGGUAACCCCAUGCUCCCUUCUCUCCAUCUGUGAGUGAUUUAAAAUGCCAUGCUUGUCCUUCAAAACUUUUUUUGUUUCAUAACUAUUUAGGUCUAAUUUUUCCUGCAUGAACAGCUUAUUAUCACAAACUAGUACAUGAAGAUUAUUCA